CCUACGGGGGGCAGCAGUGGGGAAUAUUGCACAAUGGGGGAAACCCUGAUGCAGCGACGCCGCGUGAGUGAGGAAGUAUUUCGGUAUGUAAAGCUCUAUCAGCAGGGAAGAAAAUGACGGUACCUGACUAAGAAGCCCCGGCUAACUACGUGCCAGCAGCCGCGGUAAUACGGAGGGGGCAAGCGUUAUCCGGAUUUACUGGGUGUAAAGGGAGCGUAGACGGCUAAUCAAGUCAGGAGUGAAAACGCAGGGCUCAACCUUGGGACUGCUUUUGAAACUGAGUAGCUAGAGUGCAGAAGAGGUAAGCGGAAUUCCUAGAGUAGCGGUGAAAUGCGUAGAUAUUAGGAGGAACACCAGUGGCGAAGGCGGCUUACUGGACUGUAACUGACGUUGAGGCUCGAAAGCGUGGGGAGCAAACAGGAUUAGAUACCCUUGUAGUC
rnacentral:rRNA from 1 species